rnacentral:rRNA from 1 species
AUUGAACGCUGGCGGCAGGCCUAACACAUGCAAGUCGAGCGAGCGGCGGACGGGUGAGUAAUGUCUGGGAAACUGCCCGAUAGAGGGGGAUAACUACUGGAAACGGUGGCUAAUACCGCAUACUAUCGGAUGAACCCAUAUGGGCUUAGCUAGUAGGUGGGGUAACGGCUCACCUAGGCGACGAUCCCUAGCUGGUCUGAGAGGAUGGUCAGCCACACUGGAACUGAGACACGGCCCAGACUCCUACGGGAGGCAGCAGUGGGGAAUAUUGGACAAUGGGCGCAAGCCUGAUGCAGCCAUGCCGCGUGUAUGAAGAAGGCCUUAGGGUUGUAAAGUACUUUCAGCGGGGAGGCGUUACCCGCAGAAGAAGCACCGGCUAACUCCGUGCCAGCAGCCGCGGUAAUAC